rnacentral:rRNA from 1 species
AUGAACGCUAGCUACAGGCUUAACACAUGCAAGUCGAGGGGCAGCAUGGUCUUAGCUUGCUAAGGCUGAUGGCGACCGGCGCACGGGUGAGUAACACGUAUCCAACCUGCCGUCUACUCUUGGCCAGCCUUCUGAAAGGAAGAUUAAUCCAGGAUGGGAUCAUGAGUUCACAUGUCCGCAUGAUUAAAGGUAUUUUCCGGUAGACGAUGGGGAUGCGUUCCAUUAGAUAGUAGGCGGGGUAACGGCCCACCUAGUCAACGAUGGAUAGGGGUUCUGAGAGGAAGGUCCCCCACAUUGGAACUGAGACACGGUCCAAACUCCUACGGGAGGCAGCAGUGAGGAAUAUUGGUCAAUGGGCGAUGGCCUGAACCAGCCAAGUAGCGUGAAGGAUGACUGCCCUAUGGGUUGUAAACUUCUUUUAUAAAGGAAUAAAGUCGGGUAUGCAUACCCGUUUGCAUGUACUUUAUGAAUAAGGAUCGGCUAACUCCGUGCCAGCAGCCGCGGUAAUACGGAGGAUCCGAGCGUUAUCCGGAUUUAUUGGGUUUAAAGGGAGCGUAGAUGGAUGUUUAAGUCAGUUGUGAAAGUUUGCGGCUCAACCGUAAAAUUGCAGUUGAUACUGGAUGUCUUGAGUGCAGUUGAGGCAGGCGGAAUUCGUGGUGUAGCGGUGAAAUGCUUAGAUAUCACGAAGAACUCCGAUUGCGAAGGCAGCCUGCUAAGCUGCAACUGACAUUGAGGCUCGAAAGUGUGGGUAUCAAACAGGAUUAGAUACCCUGGUAGUCCACACGGUAAACGAUGAAUACUCGCUGUUUGCGAUAUACGGCAAGCGGCCAAGCGAAAGCGUUAAGUAUUCCACCUGGGGAGUACGCCGGCAACGGUGAAACUCAAAGGAAUUGACGGGGGCCCGCACAAGCGGAGGAACAUGUGGUUUAAUUCGAUGAUACGCGAGGAACCUUACCAGGUCUUGACAUCCGAUGCAUAACACAGAGAUGUGUGAAAUCCUUCGGGACAUCGAGACAGGUGGUGCAUGGUUGUCGUCAGCUCGUGUCGUGAGAUGUUGGGUUAAGUCCCGCAACGAGCGCAACCCUUAUCCUUUGUUGCCAGCGGUCCGGCCGGGAACUCAAAGGAGACUGCCAGUGAUAAACUGGAGGAAGGUGGGGAUGACGUCAAAUCAGCACGGCCCUUACGUCCGGGGCUACACACGUGUUACAAUGGGGGGUACAGAGGGCCGCUACCACGCGAGUGGAUGCCAAUCCCUAAAACCCCUCUCAGUUCGGACUGGAGUCUGCAACCCGACUCCACGAAGCUGGAUUCGCUAGUAAUCGCGCAUCAGCCACGGCGCGGUGAAUACGUUCCCGGGCCUUGUACACACCGCCCGUCAAGCCAUGGGAGCCGGGGGUACCUGAAGUGCGUAACCGCGAGGAUCGCCCUAGGGUAAAACUGGUGACUGGGGCU